AGAGUUUGAUCAUGGCUCAGAAUCAACGCUGGCGGCGUGCCUCAGACAUGCAAGUCGAACGCGAAAGCCCUUCGGGGCAAGUAGAGUGGCGCACGGGUGAGUAACACGUAGGUAAUCUACCUUUGGAUUGGGAAUAACAACCGGAAACGGUUGCUAAUACCGAAUAAUGCAGCGGCACCUAAUGGUGACAGUUGUUAAAGCGGGGGAUCGCAAGACCUCGCGUCUGAAGAGGAGCCUGCGGCAGAUUAGCUAGUUGGUAAGGUAAUGGCUUACCAAGGCGAUGAUCUGUAGCCGGCCUGAGAGGGCGGUCGGCCACACUGACACUGACAUACGGGUCAGACUCCUACGGGAGGCAGCAGUCGGGAAUUUUGGGCAAUGGGCGAAAGCCUGACCCAGCAACGCCGCGUGAAGGAUGAAAUCCCUCGGGAUGUAAACUUCGCAAGAACGGGAAGAAUAAGUGAGAGCUGACAUCUCUUACGAUGACGGUACUGUUUGUAAGCUCCGGCUAACUCCGUGCCAGCAGCCGCGGUAAUACGGGGGGAGCAAGCGUUGUUCGGAUUUACUGGGCGUAGAGGGCGCGUAGGCGUCCACCGCAAGUCGACUGUGAAAUCUCCGGGCUUACCCGGAACGGUCAGCCGAUACUGCGGGGCUAGAGUGCAGAAGGGGCAACUGGAAUUCUCGGUGUAGCGGUGAAAUGCGUAGAUAUCGAGAGGAACACCUGCGGCGAAGGCGGGUUGC
rnacentral:rRNA from 1 species